CCAGCAUCAGGGUCUUUUCCAGCGAAUUGACUCUUCCCAUCAGGCGGCCAAAGUAUUGGAGUUUCAGCUUCAGCAUCAGUCCUUCCAGUGAAUAUCCAGGACUUGAUUUCCUUUAGGAUGGACUGGUUUGAUCUCCUUGCAGUCCAAGGGACUCUCAAGAGUCUUCUCUGAUACCACAG